rnacentral:rRNA from 1 species
GAUGAACGCUGGCUACAGGCUUAACACAUGCAAGUCGAGGGGAAACGACGGGGAAGCUUGCUUCCCCGGGCGUCGACCGGCGCACGGGUGAGUAACGCGUAUCCAACCUGCCUCUGACUGAGGGAUAACCCGUCGAAAGUCGGCCUAAUACCUCAUGGCAUCGUCUGCGGGCAUCCAACGACGAUUAAAGAUUUCAUCGGUCAGGGAUGGGGAUGCGUCUGAUUAGCUUGUUGGCGGGGUAACGGCCCACCAAGGCUACGAUCAGUAGGGGUUCUGAGAGGAAGGUCCCCCACAUUGGAACUGAGACACGGUCCAAACUCCUACGGGAGGCAGCAGUGAGGAAUAUUGGUCAAUGGGCGAGAGCCUGAACCAGCCAAGUAGCGUGCAGGAUGACGGCCCUAUGGGUUGUAAACUGCUUUUAUGCGGGGAUAAAGUGAGGGACGUGUCCUUCAUUGCAGGUACCGCAUGAAUAAGGACCGGCUAAUUCCGUGCCAGCAGCCGCGGUAAUACGGAAGGUCCUGGCGUUAUCCGGAUUUAUUGGGUUUAAAGGGAGCGUAGGCCGUGGAUUAAGCGUGUUGUGAAAUGCAGGUGCUCAACGUCUGCACUGCAGCGCGAACUGGUCCACUUGAGUGUGCGCAACGCAGGCGGAAUUCGUCGUGUAGCGGUGAAAUGCUUAGAUAUGACGAAGAACUCCGAUUGCGAAGGCAGCUUGCGGGAGCACAACUGACGCUGAAGCUCGAAAGUGCGGGUAUCGAACAGG